UAGCUCAGUUGGUAGAGCGUCCGACUGUAGUGUUUGGUAUCGGAUGGUCCCUGGUUCGAUUCC
rnacentral:tRNA from 1 species